GUAAAGCCAGACUUUCCAGGCUGAGAGAGAGGCAACUGAACAGCAAUAUAAUAAAAAGCAAGAAUGACAUAAAAAAGUGCAUAGAGAGCUAUUAUUAAUGGUAGCUUCUAAUAAAAUAUCCAGGAAUCAUCACAUCAAAAUGUGAGGUGGCACAAGCAAAAGGAGAUGCUGCUUAACCCAUCUAAACCUUCAGACUCCUUGCUAUAGGGUGUAGAUCAUUUACAUGAAUUCAAAAAGCAACUGGACAAAUGGAAAAAAGCCCUCACCAGGGUGCUGGAAGAGUAUUCUGUGAAAGCAUCACCAAAUGGUCACUCUGUUCUUUUCCUCUGCUGCAGGUAUCCACUGCUGACCACUGUUGGAGACUAUCAUCUAUUGGCUGCUGUCACUGAAAUAUAUCCACUCAAGAUGGCUGCACAGCACACUGGGAUCUUCACAUUUGUUAUUAUUAUUCACUUAUUUAUGCAGAUAACAUGCUGAUUCCCCAGGAUGAUAAGGCGUUUAUAGCAUCUCAAUCUUUGA